GUGAGAAGGCCAGGGGAAAGCUUUUCCUCUAAAAAAACCCUAACAUCUUAAUUCUAUCAAAUUGAAAGUGAAAUCAGUGAAGAAUCGAAUGCAUGAGCUAAGAAUCCUGAUUGUCUAAGUAUUCUUGAUCUCAAGCACGAAAAAGGAAGAAGGCGCAAGUCACUCGAAGGCACAAUCAUCUCAGGAUCGCGGUAAAUCUCAUGCUUGAUUGCGGCGCACUCGGACCGAACACACAAGUGUCGACCUUUUACACGCUUCCGGUUCAUGUUGUUGAUUAUGAAUGGGUCAAAGACUUCGUUUUGUCAUAUGAUAUCAAAUUGUGUCUAGUAUGUUAGUAAGUAGCUAGAAUUUCUAAAUCUUUUGGUAUAUUUUGUACAAAAUUGUUCAUGGUGAACCUUAUGGUCACAACUUUGUGGUUUUGA